UACAUUCUUUUGCUGUUUCGCUGUUGCUGAAUGAAUGACUGAAUGAAAGCAUCUCCCAAGGCUGCCUGCUUGCUUACCUUCUCACAUGAUGCUUCUUUGCCUCUCUGUUCCUUAAGGAGCUUUCCCUCCCUUCUUUCUUGCCCCACAGUCCCCAAACUCACCAGUGUGGGCAGAAGGAGAAAAGGAAUGUUCUAUCCAGCCCCAUACCCCAGCACCUGCUGGGCAACUUUGUCUUCCCUUCUGCAAAAGAAAAGAAGUCCCCUCAAACACAGGAGAGGAUGGGAAAAGGCAUCUCUCUAAGCAGUAACCCUGGCAGGGCCCUUCAGGAUUCCCAAAUUCCCAAUUUAUAGACAGGGAAACUGAUCCCUAGAGAAGGGAAGGGACUUGCCCAUGUCCACACAGCAUGUUAGUGGGACACAUCAUGAAACAUAAAAGCAGGAAGAGGGUCUAGAAACCAUCUAGCCCUACCCCCUCAUUUAGAGAAAGGAAAACCGAGGCCCAGAGAGGGAGAGUUAGUGACAGAGCCACAACAAGAACUCAGAAGAGGGUCAGCUGGUGUGCAACCAGCUCAGUGACACAAAAGCCUGUGCUAGGGAUUUAAUGUUCUACUGUCGUGUCUUGAAAUUCUUCAUAUCUUAUCUGUAAAUGUGUAGUUUGUAAAUGAAGUCUGUGAGAUAACACAGCAGGCACCCAGGCCAACAGCCUCAGUUCAAGUGCAGUCCGGCCCCUCCCUCACCAGGUGGGUUCUCAGUGCCAGCUUCCCCAACCCCCUGCUAUCUCCUCCUCACAUCCCUUCUUCUCUCUCUUCCCCCCAACAGCUGCCAGUCUGCUAUCUGCAGGGCACUGGCACGGGAGGCUGAGCAUGCACAUCCCACAGCAUUUGGGUAGGACACGACUGCAGCCAUGCCUGCCCUAGAGGUUGAUGACAUCGUGGUGCCUUCAAGGGGGGAAACUGGCAGGGCAAGCCUUUCCCCUAUGCUAGAGCCUCUGACAUGGAGGUUGCAAGAUGUGGGGGUACCUGUCCACCAUGGAUUGGGGUGAAGGGCCUGUGGGAAAGGAGGAUGCCUGGCUUCCCUUCUCCGGGUCCUCUUGCCUCAGUGUAGGGGACCUGGCAGCAGAUGGGCACUGGUGGGCCACACUGCAGGGGAAGGCUCCUGGGUGCCUUGAGGGCCUCCGUGCUCCUCUCCAGUAGCUCCAUGCCCAAGGUAGCAUAGCAUUAAAUAGCAAAUACACAGCACAAGAGGGGCCACAGAAGUGGGGUGGGGCUUUAUGUUUGGGUACCUCUCUCCUGCCUGUGGAACAAAAGGCUUGUGUUUGCAAUGUGCCCUGGGCUGUCACAUUAGGUAGCUGUCCUGACUCAGGACUUCUGUUGCUCUGGCCACCAGCCCCCAGCACUCAGCACCGCUGGACAACACCGGUGUAUUCACGUUCAGUCUAGUGCGUUCCCGGCCCUGUGCUGGGCCUCUUUUCCCUGUUUUCUUGUUUGCAGCCUUGUCGUAACUGAGUGAGGUGUGCACUAUUAUUAGACUCAUUUUACAGGUGAGGAAAGACAGCUGCCCAUAGGCUGAGUUAACUUGUCCACGUCCUCCACCAGGGAAGCAAGAGAGCCAAGCUCCCCACCCAGGUGGCCUGGUGCUCCUGUCCUGGCCCGACAUGCGGGCAGUCGGGCCGUCGGGAAAGGAAAGCGCAGUGUAGAGGAGCUGCUUCUCACCGCCUCUCCUCCCCUCCCCACCUUCCCCGGGAACUCAUGCCCCUCCCCUGCACUCCUGCUCCUUGCCGGCUCGCCCUGGGCCGCUCCGAAGGGAGGAGACCACGUGACCCAGGUCACCGGUAACCAGGCAACCGUUCCAAGACACUGCUUUUCAUCCACUCUGGCUUCUACCUUAUUCAAUAUCUGCCAGGCGGGCAAGGCUCCUGGGAGCAUCCCUGAAGCCAUUUCUCUGGGCCAGGAGCCAGCUGUUCCCAAAAUGGCCACGAUGCCUCAGGAGGGAGGUUGACACCCUGUGCUCUCAGAAGCAGCUCAGAGCUCAGAGGCAGACCUCUACUCAUGCAAUUCUGCCUUCUGUGCAUGCAAUGGAUUGCUGCCAUCUCCAAUCAGCCACAAUGGGAGGCCACCUGCUAGACAUGGAAGAGCCACCGGAUGGAAGAAGCCUGGGUCUCUGAAAUACUGCUUGGAGUAGACUACUCUGCCUGCAAACUAGGAGCACUGAUUUUGGACUUUUUGGGAGGGACUUCUAUGCCCUCUGCAGUUUGCCUCUUCCUCUGCUAUUUUUUCAUGUAUGUGUAUGUUUUUUGCCUGUAUUUGCAAUGCCAGCCAUCAUUUGCCAUGUCUUCUAGCGGCAACCUGCAUUUAGCCCAGAUCUGCUGUGAUUAUUCCUUUUCACAAACCACAAUGACUCUGGAAAACCUGGCUGUAAACACCAGCACUGCCACCAGCUAAGGAUCUGUGAUCAGGAGUGCCAUCUCACGGUAACAGGAAGACAAAAGUGAAACCGGGCUGAUGCGAAUCACUGGGAAACUGGCUUUGGCACCUCCAGAGAAUGAACUGUUUCAUAGCCUAGCUGACCAUCCAUGAAAAUGGCUGCCUGGAGAGGCAGUGAUCAGCCCAUCCCUGCAGGGUGAAGAUAAGCUUGUGCAGGCCACUGGCUAACACAGUUCAUCCCAUGCCUCCUACAUACCAAGCACUGUGCCAGGCACUUUUCACGUCUGGCAUCCUCAGAAUCCUCCAAAAGGAGAGGUUCGUGGAGGAUAAUGCUGUCAGGCUUGGAAGCAGCAGUAGAGAUCACGUUGCCCAGCUCUUGGCAUCAUUGGUUCCCAAAGCUCUGAAUCCCCUGGAGAGCUUUUGUAAAAGGUCGGAUUCAGACAAUCCGGUGGAGCACUCUGAAAUUUAGAGGAAGUGGUCAAAUAGAAUUUUCUGGAAUUAUGGAAAUCUUCUAUUCUGUGCAUCUAGUAUAGUAGAAUCUAGUCACAUGUGGCUUUUGAGAACUGGAAAUAUGGCUAAUGCAACAGAGAAAGUGAAUUUUUACUUUUGAUUCAUUUAAAUAUAAAUGGUCACAUAUGACAUCACUGCCAUAUUGGACAUUGCAGUUCUGGAAGAUGGCAGAUGCAGCCCUCAGAAGAAUUAUCAGCCUGAAUGUCUGGGCGGAGCAGAGCACUACCUUCCCACUCACUCUUCCCCUCCUCUCGCCCCCUCCCCUGCCUCACUUGCAUCAGAUUAUGAUGUGAGCAAAAGCAGGAAACAGCUCUUUUGAUAGGCCUGUGAGACUUGCUGUUCGUUGGAGUAGCUAGGCUGCUCUGACUCAUACAGACCCAAAUCCUGGCAACCACUUUUAUGAAGAAAUGACAAUUCAGUCUACUACUUGUCCAUUUUACAUGCCCAAGGAAUGUGAGGGGCCUCUGCUUGGAUCUAGUUUUCAACCUAGUCUAUGGCAUUGAUUAUCCUUUUAAAAGACAAAAGAGGUGACUUCACGGGCACUUAACAUCUUGGCCAUACUGACCCCAGUUGCACGCUACGUAGGAAGUUUUAGUCCAUUUAAACUGAAGUUCCAAUUUUUUUUUUAACAACUAUUUAAAAAUUGUACAUGUCCCAUACAUGACAGAGAAAGGGUUGUCUGGUUGGAUGAUUUUUGGCUUGCAAAAAGAGAACACAAAAGAAAAGCAUACGUUUUAAUACUCAAGAGACCAAAUUUUCUGCUGAAGAGGAAAUGAACUACAUAUCCAGAAGGGUCCUACCAAGAGGCCAAACAGACUGUGUUCUCUUGGGGGAGUUCUCAGUGGUGAUGAGAACACCACUUUUUUUUUUUUUUUAGUCAUUUUCAAGGUGAGAUAUUGACUUGCUGCUGGAGCAGGACAACUGGUCUCUCUUUCAUUGCUAGCAGCAGAGUAAGGGUCUUGCAAGUUUCAGGCAGCAGCAGAGAAAGGGUCUUGCAAGUUUCAGUCCAAAGCAAGAAGAGCUAGGAUUGCACCAGCUGUCUCACCUACUCUGUGCUCACCUGUUUCUGGAUGAAGCACGGUGACAUCUGUUUUAUUGUAAAGAGAACCAACUUUGGAAUCAAAUGGAACCUGUAUUAAAAUCCUGAAUCCGUCACUAGCUUGGACAAGUCA
rnacentral:lncRNA from 1 species